rnacentral:rRNA from 1 species
AUUGAACGCUGGCGGCAUGCCUAACACAUGCAAGUCGAACGAGUGGCGGACGGGUGAGUAAUGUCUGGGAAACUGCCUGAUGGAGGGGGAUAACUACUGGAAACGGUAGCUAAUACCGCAUACCAUUGGAUGUGCCCAGAUGGGAUUAGCUAGUAGGUGUGGUAAAGGCGCACCUAGGCGACGAUCCGUAGCUGGUCUGAGAGGAUGACCGGCCAAACUGGAACUGAGAGACGGUCCAGACUCCUACGGGCGGAAGCAGUGGGGAAUAUUGCAAAAUGGGCGCAAGCCUGAUACAGCCAUGCCGCGUGUAUGAAGAAGGCCUGCGGGUUGUAAAGUACUUUCAGCGGGGAGGCGUUACCCGCAGAAGAAGCGCCGGCUAACUCCGUGCCAGCAGCCGCGGUAAUUC